ensembl:snRNA U4 U4 spliceosomal RNA
AGCUUUGCGCAGUGGCAGUAUCGUAGCCAAUGAGGUUUAUCUGAGGCGCGAUUAUUGCUAAUUGAAAACUUUUCCCAAUACCCCGCCAUGACGACUUGAAAUAUAGUCGGCAAUAAAAAAAAAAAA